GUGCCAGCCGCCGCGGUAAUACGGAGGGGGUUAGCGUUGUUCGGAAUGACUGGGCGUAAAGCGCGCGUAGGCGGAUCGGAAAGUUGGGGGUGAAAUCCCGGGGCUCAACCCCGGAAUGGCCUUCAAAACUCCCGGUCUUGAGGUCGAGAGAGGUGAGUGGAAUUCCGAGUGUAGAGGUGAAAUUCGUAGAUAUUCGGAGGAACACCAGUGGCGAAGGCGGCUCACUGGCUCGAACCUGACGCUGAGGUGCGAAAGCGUGGGGAGCAAACAGGAUUAGAAACCCUCGUAGUCC
rnacentral:rRNA from 1 species